rnacentral:rRNA from 1 species
CAGUAGCCGCGGGAAUACGAAGGUCCCGAGCGUUGUUCGGAAUCACUGGGCGUAAAGGGAGCGUAGGCGGCGUGGUAAGUCAGAUGUGAAAUCCCGGGGCUCAACCCCGGAACUGCAUCCGAUACUGCCGUGCUAGAGGAUUGGAGAGGUAGCUGGAAUUCUUGGUGUAGCAGUGAAAUGCGUGGAGAUCAGGAGGAACACUCGUGGCGAAAGCGAGCUACUGGACAAUAUCUGACGCUGAGGCUCGAAGGCCAGGGUAGCGAAAGGGAUUAGAUACCCCAGUAGUCCCUGUCUCUUAUAC